UCCUAGGCAUUCACCAUAGACUCUUAUUACUUUGACCAUAUUUUUAUCUUCCAUCUCUAUUUUGCCAAUUUGUUUAUACAACAUAGAAUAAUAUAUAUCUUUGUUUAAUCCAUGUCAAUAUAUAUUUUAUUUUUUAUAUUAUUUGAAUAAAACAUUCAAAAACAUGAACAUCUAAAAACAUAAAAAAUAAAAUCAAUGUUUAAAGUAUAAAACAAAAACCCUGGCAACAACUUACUCUCCCGCUAACUCGCAGA
rnacentral:misc_RNA from 1 species